rnacentral:lncRNA from 1 species
UUGCGGUUCAUUCCUUGCCACAGCUGCACAGAAAUGGCAAAAAUAGGUCGCGUCCAUAAAUGUGUACACUGUGACUGAAGGGGCUAAUUAGAUACAGCUUAUAUA